rnacentral:tRNA from 1 species
GAGGGUACAGCUCAGUGGUAGAGCUUAUGCUUAGCAUGCACGAGGUCCUGGGUUCAUUUCUCAGUACCUCCA